CAGUAUUAUUUAUACGUUAUGUUUUUUAUUAUUUAUUUUAUUUUAUUUUGUUUUUGUUUUUUACUUUUGUUGGCUAUCAAUAUUUUGGCUUGUUGGGUCGAUUGAUAAGGUAUGUAUAUGUAUACAUAUAUAUUUAUUUAUAUAUAUAUGGAUGUAUGUUCUGGAUGAAACUUAAAGUUGUAUUUGUUUUUGUUUUUACUGAUGUUGUAGUUGUUGUUUAUUGGUUCGGUGUGUGUUCAAUAAAUAGACUUUGUUCCAUCUUUACAUAUUUCUCUUUGUUUUCUUUUUGCAAAAAGGGACGGUAAAAUUACAAUAAAAUCAUUUUGAAAUUUAUGUAUUCAUCAGUUGUUUUUUUUUUUGUUGUUUCUUGUUCUACAAAUUUCAUCAUAAAUAAUUUGUAUAGGCAACUGAAUAAGUUCAGUUAAUCUCAGUGUAUGUGAGUGUAUGGACGACGUGUGUGUGUGUGUGUGUGUGUGAGUCUAUGUAUGCAUGUGUGUGUCUUAAAUAUAA